CUUGACCUCGGCCUCCACGUAGGCGUCCUGUUCAUCAGGCACCCAGACUCGCUUCUUCCCUGGGUUGCAGAGAGAGCUCUGGACUCAGAGAGGGGCUGAGGCACCUCCAGGUUCUAGCUGGAGUUCCCAAGCCAUGCUGUCCCCAGAGCUUUGAGGAGCCCAGAUUUCAUGGUGGUUAGAAGCAUGGACUCAGGCUGCAAACCGGAGUUUGUGUCCCCUGCUCUGCCAAGUGCCUGGGUCAGGACCAUCUAGAACCAUCUAGGACCAUCUACAUAACCUACAGACCCCAGUACAAAAUGACGAUGUGGGUCCCCUUGUUGAAAACAAUUAAAACUUUCAAG
rnacentral:lncRNA from 1 species